rnacentral:rRNA from 1 species
UACGUAGGCAGCGAGCGUUGUUCGGAGUUACUGGGCGUAAAGCGUGCGUAGGCGGUGUCUCAAGUUUGUUGUGAAAUCUCCCGGCUCAACCGGGAGGGUGCGGCGAAUACUGAGAGGCUGGAGUGCGGGAGAGGUAAGCGGAAUUCCUGGUGUAGCGGUGAAAUGCGUAGAUAUCAGGAGGAACACCUGCGGUGUAGACGGCUUACUGGACCGUAACUGACGCUGAGGCACGAAAGCGUGGGUAGCAAACAGG